UACGUAGGGUGCAAGCGUUGUCCGGAAUUAUUGGGCGUAAAGAGCUCGUAGGCGGUUUGUCGCGUCGAAUGUGAAAUCCCGGGGCUCAACCCCGGGUCUGCAUUCGAUACGGGCAGACUAGAGUUCGGUAGGGGAGUCUGGAAUUCCUGGUGUAGCGGUGAAAUGCGCAGAUAUCAGGAGGAACACCGGUGGCGAAGGCGGGACUCUGGGCCGAUACUGACGCUGAGGAGCGAAAGCGUGGGGGAGCGAACAGG
rnacentral:rRNA from 1 species